UUGGGUGUAACUGAGCUAUGUGCAUGUUUUGUGCAGAUUCAGCGCUUAUGCAUUAAAGAUUCUGCUGCGCUUGUUCACCGGCCAGAGAAAGAGUUCCGAAGCUUGGUAUCUUUGAGGAGUCUAAAGAUUAUAUCCUGCGAACAACUGGUUGGAUAUGCACAAGCUCCUGUAGCUGAGCCAUCAACAGCAUCAGAAUCCUCGAGUGAGCUCCUGCCUCGUCUCGAGUAUCUCAAUAUAUAUGGUUGUAAAAGCAUGGUUGAGAUCUUCAAAGUCCCUGCAUCCCUGAGGAAAAUGAGAAUUACUUGUUGCAGCAAGCUCAAGUUCAUAUUCAGCAGUAGGCCGCAGCAGGAGAGUCAGUGCCAUUGAGUAUUCAAGGGCCAUCAGCCAGUUCCAGGGAGGAGCAUAUUAUAUUUCCAUGUUUAGAAGAAAUAGACAUUCGGGAGUGUGACAGCUUAACAGGGGUCCUCGAUCUUCCGCCGUCCCUCAAGGAAAUAAUAUUUAAUGGGUGCGGUGAGUUGAGAUCAGUAGAAUUUCAAUCAGGAGAGAUGCCAUUAUUGGAGGUCCUUCACAUUGCACGAUGCAAAACCCUGUCAUCCCUACCAGACGGGCCGCAAGCAUAC
rnacentral:lncRNA from 1 species